ACCUACCAAUAAUUUGAGCUUCAAUCCAGAUGGGUCUGCUGUGAACCCUGGAGCUUUCCAGCAGCAUAUUCGAAGUGAUUCUAAUCUUAUGGCUCAGUUGUUUCAGAAUGAUCCUGAACUAGCACAAGCUGUUCUGGGAAAUGAUCUAAAUAAACUGCAAGACCUUUUACGAGAGCGUCAUCGCCAAAAAUCUGAUUUACGACGUCAACAAGAAGAGGAGCUCGCCCUUCUUUAUGCAGAUCCUUUUAAUGUUGAAGCGCAAAAGAAGAUUGAAGCUGCUAUUCACCAG